CCGUAGGGUGCUCUCUUUCUCUUCCUUCCUUGGCUUCCCUCUUUCUCCUUCUUCUUUUUCCUCCCUCCUUUCCCUCCCCGGGCUUCCCCUGGGAAUUUCGCUUGUGACUGGCGGGCUGGAGUACGGCAGAGGGGGGUGGAAUUCCACGUGUAGCAGUGAAAUGCGUAGAGAUGUGGAGGAACACCGAUGGCGAAGGCAGCCCCCUGGGCCGAUACUGACGCUCAUGCACGAAAGCGUGGGGAGCAAACAG
rnacentral:rRNA from 1 species